rnacentral:rRNA from 1 species
AUUGAACGCUGGCGGCAGGCCUAACACAUGCAAGUCGAACGGUAACAGGAAGAAGCUUGCUUCUUUGCUGACGAGUGGCGGACGGGUGAGUAAUGUCUGGGAAACUGCCUGAUGGAGGGGGAUAACUACUGGAAACGGUAGCUAAUACCGCAUAACGUCGCAAGACCAAAGAGGGGGACCUUCGGGCCUCUUGCCAUCGGAUGUGCCCAGAUGGGAUUAGCUUGUUGGUGGGGUAACGGCUCACCAAGGCGACGAUCCCUAGCUGGUCUGAGAGGAUGACCAGCCACACUGGAACUGAGACACGGUCCAAACUCCUACGGGAGGCAGCAGUGGGGAAUAUUGCACAAUGGGCGCAAGCCUGAUGCAGCCAUGCCGCGUGUAUGAAGAAGGCCUUCGGGUUGUAAAGUACUUUCAGCGGGGAGGAAGGGAGUAAAGUUAAUACCUUUGCUCAUUGACGUUACCCGCAGAAGAAGCACCGGCUAACUCCGUG